rnacentral:rRNA from 1 species
CCAGACUCCUACGGGAGGCAGCAGUGGGGAAUAUUGCACAAUGGGGGGAACCCUGAUGCAGCGACGCCGCGUGAGUGAAGAAGUAUUUCGGUAUGUAAAGCUCUAUCAGCAGGGACGAAGAUGACGGUACCUGAAGAAGAAGCCCCGGCUAACUACGUGCCAGCAGCCGCGGUAAUACGUAGGGGGCAAGCGUUAUCCGGAUUUACUGGGCGUAAAGGGGGCGCAGACGGCGAUGCAAGCCAGGAGUGAAAGCCCGGGGCCCAACCCCGGGACUGCUCUUGGAACUGCGUGGCUAGAGUGCAGGAGGGGCAGGCGGAAUUCCUGGUGCAGCGGUGAAAUGCGUAGAUAUCAGGAGGAACACCGGUGGCGAAGGCGGCCUGCUGGACUGCAACUGACGUUGAGGCCCGAAAGCGUGGGGAGCAAACAGGAUUAGAUACCCGAGUA